GAUUUGUCAUUUGACAGGACCUCAAAUGCCAGAAAGUUUUGUCAGAUGGUGAUGUAUUACUCUAAAUACAUUCUCUCACAUUUUCCUCAGGGGAAAACAAAACAAAACAAAAAAACUGCAGAGACAAAGGAGAUGAAAGGAAAUGAGGACAAGAAAUAGAGGUUCACAAAAAAGAAGAAAACACAAUUUUCAAACUGAAUAAAAGCAAAUGGAACUGGAUUGACCAAGGGCUAUUUUAAAGACAGAGAUAUAUUCGUCUUUGACCACAUAAUUAUGCCCCUUAAGUUAUAGUUUCUGACAGAGAUAGUACUUGAUCUUUCUGAAGGCAUAAAUUGACUGUCUAAAAUACAAGGGACCAUGGCCGGGCGCGGUGGCUCAAGCCUGUAAUCCUAGCACUUUGGGAGGCCGAGAUGGGCGGAUCACGAGGUCAGGAGAUCGAGACCAUCCUGGCUAACCCAGUGAAAUCCCGUCUCUACUAAAAAAUACAAAAAACUAGCUGGGCGAGGUGGCGGGCGCCUGUAGUCCCAGCUACUCAGGAGGCUGAGGCAGGAGAAUGGCAUAAACCCGGGAGGCGGAGCUUGCAGUGAGCUGAGAUCCGGCCACUGCACUCCAGCCUGGGUGACAGAGCGGGACUCCAUCUCAAAAAUAAAUAAAUAAAUAAAUAAAAAUACAAGGGACCACAUUUCUCAUGUGACUAGUAAGUUGGUUCUUAACAGGUCAGAAAACGGUGUUCCAACAUUAUAGACAUGUUAGCAUCAUCAGGAUAAGUAUAUAACCUCUUAAGCUAACAGAAAUGGAGAGAGGGAAGGAAUAUUUAUUCAACACCUACUAUUAAUGCACUGGCUCAUCCAUGUUCUUUCACAUGUAUUGAAUCCUUUUUUUAUUUUUUUUAAGAUGGAGUCUCGCUCUGUCGCCAGGCUGGAGUGCAGUGGCGAGCUCCAACCUCCACCUCCCGGGUUCCAGUGAUUCUCCUGCCUCAGCCCCCAGAGUAGCUGGGGCUACAGGCGCCUGCCACCUCGCCCGGCUGAGGCAGGAGAAUGGUCUAAACCCGGGAGGCGGAGCUUGCAGUGAGCUGAGAUCCGGCCACUGCACUCCAGCCUGGGUGACAGAGCGAGACUCCGUCUCAAAAAAAAAAAAAAAAAACCUGCUAAUGGAGAAACUGUUCAGCAAAACAGGGCAGAUGAUCAUGAAGUCAUAAGUUUGAUUAGCAGGUUUCUUUUGUAAGUUUUCUUAAGUGCCCUCUUCCCAACAUCGUUACUUCUGUUUUCAUCUUAUGUUACGAAAUGCAUUCAACAGUUGAUAGAACUCAGUUUCAGUCUCUUGAUCUAAAAACAAACCAACCUAAUGUUGACUGCUUUAUGUGCUGAGUGAAAAAGAAACCCU
rnacentral:lncRNA from 1 species